CCUACGGGCGGCAGCAGUGGGGAAUAUUGGUCAAUGGAGGAAACUCUGAACCAGCAACGCCGCGUGAAUGAUGAAGGUCUUCGGAUUGUAAAGUUCUUUUCUAAGGGAAGAAGGAAGUGACGGUACCUUAGUACUAAGCCUCGGCUAACUACGGGCCAGCAGCCGCGGUAAUACGUAGGAGGCGGGCGUUAUCCGGAAUGACUGGGCGUAAAGGGGGCGUAGGUGGUUUGACAAGUUGGUAGCGUAACUCCGAGGCUCAACCUCGGAACUACUACCAAAACUGUCGGACUUGAGUGCAGGAGGGGCAAUUGGAAUUCCUAGUGUAGCGGUGGAAUGCGCAGAUAUUAGGAGGAACACCGGUGGCGAAGGCGAAUUGCUGGACUGUAACUGACACUGAGGCACGAAAGCGUGGGGAGCAAACAGGAUUAGAUACCCGGGUAGUC
rnacentral:rRNA from 1 species